UACAGAGGCCUCGAGCGUUUAGGCGGAAUCACUGGGCUUAAAGCGUGUGUAGGUGGAGUUCUAAGUACCUUGUGAAAUCCCACGGCUCAACCGUGGAACUGCUGGGUAUACUGGUUCUCUUGAGGUACCUAGGGGCGAGCGGAACAAGUGGUGGAGCGGUGAAAUGCGUAGAUAUCACUUGGAACGCCAACGGUGAAAACAGCUCGCUGGGGGUAUCCUGACACUGAGACACGAAAGCCAGGGGAGCAAACAGG
rnacentral:rRNA from 1 species